rnacentral:rRNA from 1 species
GGACUACAGGGGUAUCUAAUCCCGUUUGCUCCCCUGGCUUUCGCGCCUCAGCGUCAGAAGAGGUCCAGUCGGGCGCUUUCGCCACCGGCGUUCCUAGUGAUAUCUACGCAUUUCACCGCUCCACCACCAGUUCCCCCGACCCCUACCUCCCUCAAGACUCCCAGUAUCGGCGGCACUUUUCCAGUUGAGCUGAAAGAUUUCACCACCGACUUGGGAACCCGCCUACGCGCCCUUUAAGCCCAGUGAUUCCGAACAACGUUUGCACGGUUCGUCUUACCGCGGCUGCUGGCAC